rnacentral:rRNA from 1 species
UCCGGAGCUAACGCGUUAAAUCGACCGCCUGGGGAGUACGGCCGCAAGGUUAAAACUCAAAUGAAUUGACGGGGGCCCGCACAAGCGGUGGAGCAUGUGGUUUAAUUCGAUGCAACGCGAAGAACCUUACCUACUCUUGACAUCCAGAGAACUUAGCAGAGAUGCUUUGGUGCCUUCGGGAACUCUGAGACAGGUGCUGCAUGGCUGUCGUCAGCUCGUGUUGUGAAAUGUUGGGUUAAGUCCCGCAACGAGCGCAACCCUUAUCCUUUGUUGCCAGCGGUUCGGCCGGGAACUCAAAGGAGACUGCCAGUGAUAAACUG